AGAGUUUGAUCCUGGCUCAGGAUGAACGCUGGCGGCGUGCCUAACACAUGCAAGUCGAGCGAGAAAUCGCGCAUUGAUCUUUCGGGUGAUUUGCGCGGUGGAAAGCGGCGGACGGGUGAGUAACGCGUAGGUAACCUGCCCCAUACAGAGGGAUAGCCAUUGGAAACGGUGAUUAAUACCUCAUAAUACCGGAACAUCGCAUGGUGAACCGGUCAAAGUUUUUCGGUAUGGGAUGGACCUGCGUCUGAUUAGCUGGUUGGUGAGGUAACGGCUCACCAAGGCGACGAUCAGUAGCCGACCUGAGAGGGUGAUCGGCCACAUUGGAACUGAGACACGGUCCAAACUCCUACGGGAGGCAGCAGUGGGGAAUAUUGCACAAUGGGCGCAAGCCUGAUGCAGCAACGCCGCGUGAACGAAGAAGGCUCUUGGGUCGUAAAGUUCUGUUCUGAGGGAAGAAGAUCUGACGGUACCUCAGGAGAAAGCCCCGGCUAACUACGUGCCAGCAGCCGCGGUAAUACGUAGGGGGCGAGCGUUGUCCGGAAUUACUGGGCGUAAAGAGUACGUAGGCGGUUUUGUAAGCGCAUGGUGAAAGGCAACGGCUUAACCGUUGUCAGCCGUGCGAACUGCAGGACUUGAGUGCAGGAGAGGAAAGCGGAAUUCCUGGUGUAGCGGUGAAAUGCGUAGAUAUCAGGAGGAACACCGGUGGCGAAGGCGGCUUUCUGGACUGUAACUGACGCUGAGGUACGAAAGCGUGGGGAGCAAACAGGAUUAGAUACCCUGGUAGUCCACGCCGUAAACGAUGAGUAUUAGGUGUCGGGGCCGUAUGGUUUCGGUGCCGCAGUUAACGCAAUAAAUACUCCGCCUGGGGAGUACGCACGCAAGUGUGAAACUCAAAGGAAUUGACGGGGACCCGCACAAGCAGCGGAGCAUGUGGUUUAAUUCGAAGCAACGCGAAGAACCUUACCAGGGCUUGACAUCCUCCCGAAAGACCGGGUAAUGCCGGUCCCUCUUCGGACGGGAGAGACAGGUGGUGCAUGGUUGUCGUCAGCUCGUGUCGUGAGAUGUUGGGUUAAGUCCCGCAACGAGCGCAACCCUUGUCGUCAGUUACUAACAUUCAGUUGAGGACUCUGAUGAGACUGCCGGGGAGAACUCGGAGGAAGGUGGGGAUGACGUCAAAUCAUCAUGCCCCUUAUGUUCUGGGCUACACACGUGCUACAAUGGCCGGUGCAGAGAGCGGCGAAACCGCGAGGUGGAGCAAAACUCACAAAACCGGUCCCAGUUCGGACUGCAGGCUGCAACUCGCCUGCACGAAGUCGGAGUUGCUAGUAAUCGCGGAUCAGAAUGCCGCGGUGAAUGCGUUCCCGGGUCUUGUACACACCGCCCGUCACACCAUGGAAGUUGGGGGUGCCCAAAGUCGGCUGAUCAAUCUGCUGCCUAAGGCAAAACCAAUGACUGGGGUGAAGUCGUAACAAGGUAACC
rnacentral:rRNA from 1 species